rnacentral:rRNA from 1 species
GAUGAACGCUAGCGCAGGCCUAACACAUGCAAGUCGAACGGUAACAGGGAUUGCUUGCAAUCCGCUGACGAGUGGCGCACGGGUGCGUAACGCGUAUAGAACCUACCCUUUACAGGGGGAUAGCCCGGAGAAAUUCGGAUUAAUACCCCAUGGUAAUGCUUCGGGGCAUCCUGAAGUGUUUAAAGUUUCGGCGGUAAAGGAUGGCUAUGCGUCUUAUUAGUUAGUAGGUGAGGUAACGGCUCACCUAGACAGCGAUAAGUAGGGGCCCUGAGAGGGGGAUCCCCACACUGGUACUGAGACACGGACCAGACUCCUACGGGAGGCAGCAGUGAGGAAUAUUGGACAAUGGUCGAGAGACUGAUCCAGCCAUGCCGCGUGCAGGAAGACGGCCCUAUGGGUUGUAAACUGCUUUUUUUACGGGAAGAAUAAUGCCCACGUGUGGGCAGAUGACGGUACCGUAGGAAUAAGGACCGGCUAACUCCGUG